GUUGCUUUUUAAAGCAGAGCAACCAAAAUGCUUUUCAGAGAAGUAACAAAGCAUUGUCUGGCUGAUAACCAGAGGCAAUAGCUAUGUAGCCAAUUGCUACUCUGAGUCUGAGACAGCAAGAAAAUAAAAUUCCACUCAGGGCAGAACCUUUAUACCUGCUGUGCUCCGAAUCUGCCUCCAGGGUACAGCUGAUCCCCAAACAUGCUAAGCCCAGCACCACUUUAACAUUAGUAUCGGCAAAGCAGAAGAACGCAAACACCAGUUCAGAAUACAGCAGCACAGCUACUGCUCUGACUCCUGUGCAGAAAUAAUUCUUGCUGCCUGCUGGUUGGAAAGAAGAGGUCGUUCAAUGAGCCCAUGUGACUGAAGCUUGUAUCCCAGAGGGAGAAGGUGACAUAAAGAAGCCUCAACUCUAUGGCACGACCUGCUUUCCCUAGGCAUGAUGGUGAGAAGAGGCAAGUCUCUUCACUUUCUAUUUUCUAACCAGGAAGGGGAACAGCAGAGCUGUCUGUGCCCUGCUCCCCAUUUUGAGGCUUUCCCCGACUUUAUUCCGCAGCUUUCCUGAUUCACAGAACAAGCAGUGGUCUCAGAUGUGUCCUGCUGAUUACUAACUUACAUAGGAACAAACACAAUUCCACUAAACAGAAUAAAUUUUUUUAAACUAAAAAUGGAAAAUGCUAUUUUGCAAAGUCCAGCUCUCAAAAGCCAGCAAUACCCAGAAAUUAAUAUGCCUAAGUAACCUUAAUUUGGCCUUCUUGUGCGUAAGUCCAGGACUUCUUCACAUACACGACUGCAAUACUACUCCGUAUUCUGUCCAAGAUGAUGAAUCAAGCUAGUCAAAUAGAGGAUCCUUUUGUCUAGACAAUUCCUUGCCUCUUUUAUUGCCAUAAUUAUAGGACAUGUAAUGAAUGAAGAAGGACAAAGAAGGAAAAAGAUGUGCUGUGGUGAAGACAGCAGAAUACUGCUCUGGAGAAUUAGAUUCUCAUGUUGCUGCUAUAAAGUUUCCAGGUGAUACUAUGUCCAUAAAUCACUUAAAUAAAUCCUUUCACAAAUGUUCUGAUGUUGCCUAUGCUGGGAAACUUCAGAGAUCAGGAUUCAUGGGGAUUCCUGCAGCAGCCACAAGCUUGCUCUCAGGAGGGAGUCCUUGCAGCCUAGUCCAUACCGUGUCCAUGUAUCAAAUCACUGGGAGAAUACCAUUCACCUCGUCAGACCACACUUCAUUCCUGAAGUGCCUUCUUGCUCUGAGUGCAAAGCAAACAGCACUGUAAAGCUGUUAUGGAAUCCUCCUGUGACUGCACGAAACAAGCUCCCAGGAUAAAAUGGCUUUAACUAGCACUUCCACAAAGUGUCAUGACAAACAGAUGAAUGUAAUUGAAAUGGUGGAAAAUUGUUUCACGUCUGGGGAAUACAGAAAAAUCAAGUAAUUAUUUUCAGUCUGGUCCUCCUAAAAGAUAGCCAGUUUUGUUGUUUUUUUUUUUAAAAAAAAGCAUGUGUUCACCUGAAAAGCUUCAUUUUACACCUCAGCUAGGUAGUUACCCAUGAAUUUUCACUAUUCUGUCCUUUUGUG